CUUUUUACAAGGACAUAUAGUGAUAAGACAAGGGGUAAUGGCUUUAAACUGAAAUAGGGGAGAUUUAGAUUGGAUAUUAGGAAGGAAUUUUUGACUGU